rnacentral:rRNA from 1 species
GACGAACGCUGGCGGCGUGCUUAACACAUGCAAGUCGAACGGUGAAGCUCCAGCUUGCUGGAGUGGAUCAGUGGCGAACGGGUGAGUAACACGUGAGCAACCUGCCCCUGACUCUGGAAUAAGCGCUGGAAACGGCGUCUACUACUGGAUACGAGAAGGGUCCGCAUGGGCACUUUCUGGAAAGUUUUUCGGUUGGGGAUGGGCUCGCGGCCUAUCAGCUUGUUGGUGAGGGAAUGGCUCACCAAGGCGACGACGGGUAGCCGGCCUGGGAGGGCGACCGGCCACACUGGGACUGAGACACGGCCCAGACUCCUACGGGAGGCAGCAGUGGGGAAUAUUGCACAAUGGGCGAAAGCCUGAUGCAGCGACGCCGCGUGAGGGAUGACGGCCUUCGGGUUGUAAACCUCUUUCAGCAGGGAAGAAGCGAAAGUGACGGUACCUGCAGAAGAAGCACCGGCUAACUACGUG